rnacentral:rRNA from 1 species
GUAACCUGGUUGAUCCUGCCAGUAGUCAUAUGCUUGUCUCAAAGAUUAAGCCAUGCAUGUCUCAGUAUAAGCUUUUAUACGGCGAAACUGCGAAUGGCUCAUUAAAACAGUUAUAGUUUAUUUGAUGGUCAUUCUUACAUGGAUAACCGUGGUAAUUCUAGAGCUAAUACAUGCGCCAAAACCCGACUUCUUGG